rnacentral:rRNA from 1 species
UGUCCACUGAACCUUAUCAUUUAGAGGAAGGAGAAGUCGUAACAAGGUUUCCGUAGGUGAACCUGCGGAAGGAUCAUUGUCGAAGCCUGCACAGCAGAACGACCCGUGGACACGUAAUCACAGCCGGUGUCGAGGGGGUCGGGCGUGAGCCCGGUGCCUGCGAUGCCUCGUCGACGUGCGUCUACGAUGCCCCGUUUUGAGGCGUCGUGGAUGUUGCGUCGGCACCUAAACAAACCCCGGCACGGCAUGUGCCAAGGAAAAGAAAACAUAAGAAGGGCGCGUCUCGUGUUGCCCCGUUCGCGGUGUGCGCAUGGGCCGUGGCCUCUCAAUAACCAUAAACGACUCUCGGCAACGGAUAUCUCGGCUCACGCAUCGAUGAAGAACGUAGCAAAAUGCGAUACUUGGUGUGAAUUGCAGAAUCCCGUGAACCAUCGAGUUUUUGAACGCAAGUUGCGCCCGAAGCCAUUCGGCCGAGGGCACGUCUGCCUGGGCGUCACGCAUCGCGUCGCCCCAGACCAUGCCUCCCCAAUGGGGAUGCGUUCGUCUGGGGCGGAGAAUGGUCUCCCGUGUCGUUGGCGCGGUUGGCCUAAAAAGGAGUCCCCUUCGACGGACGCACGGCUAGUGGUGGUUGUUAAGGCCUUCGUAUCGAGCCGUGCGUCGUUAGCCGCAAGGGAAGCGCUCUCUAAAGACCCCAACGUGUCGUCUCGUGACGACGCUUCGACCGCGACCCCAGGUCAGGCGGGACUACCCGCUGAGUUUAAGCAUAUCAAUAAGCGGAGGA